rfam:Alteromonas sp. JW12 Alteromonas_lipolytica_JW12_S18, whole genome shotgun sequence.
UUGCCUGAUGUGGGCAAAAGGGACCGAAUUUUUAUUGCAAAAAGCCCCGUUUAAUCGGGGCUUUUUGUUAAUUCGCUCUCACGCACAAAGCGAUACCAAAUUAAGGUAUCAGUAUAUUGGGCAUUAUGCCCUUUUUUC